rnacentral:rRNA from 1 species
AACGUAGGACACAAGCGUUAUCCGGAGUUACUGGGCGUAAAGGGCGUGUAGGCGGACGUGUAAGUCUAUUCUGAAAGCUCCUGGCUAAACUGGGAGAGGCGAAUGGAGACUGCAUAUCUAGAGUGAGGAAGAGGAAAGUGGAAUUCCGCGUGUAGUGGUGAAAUGCGUAGAUAUCGGAAGGAACAUCAGUGGCGAAAGCGGCUUCCUGGACCAGUACCGACGUUCAGGCACGAAAGCGUGGGGAGCAAACAGG